GACGAACGCUGGCGGCGUGCUUAACACAUGCAAGUCGAACGGAAAGGCCCUGCUUUUGUGGGGCUCUCGAGUGGCGAGCGGGUGUGUAACACGUGUGUAACCCGCCCCUGACUUUGGGAUAACUUCAGGAAACUGGGGCUAAUACCGGAUAGGAGCUCCUGCUGCAUGGGGGGGGUUGGAAAGUUUCGGCGGUUGGGUAUGGACUCGCGGCUUAUCAGCUUGUUGGUGGGGUAGUGGCUUACCAAGGCUUUGACGGGUAGCCGGCCUGAGAGGGUGACCGGCCACAUUGGGACUGAGAUACGGCCCAGACUCCUACGGGAGGCAGCAGUGGGGAAUAUUGCACAAUGGGCGGAAGCCUGAUGCAGCAACGCCGCGUGCGGGAUGACGGCCUUCGGGUUGUAAACCGCUUUCGCCUGUGACGAAGCGUGAGUGACGGUAAUGGGUAAAGAAGCACCGGCUAACUACGUG
rnacentral:rRNA from 1 species